rnacentral:sRNA from 1 species
UGACCAUUCCUGAGAAAGAGGAAUCAAGGCCAUACGGACAGCCGGGUCAACUGCCGA